ensembl:lncRNA
UGUGUAGUUGUGUAGUUGUAUCACUACAGCAACGAGGUGUACGCCUCCGGAUACGUGUGAGUGUCGGUGUUGUAUCACUGUGUAGUUGUAUCGUUGUGUCACUGUUGUGUUGUUGUAUUGUUGUGUAGUUGUGUAGUUGUGUAGUUGUGUUGUUGUAUCGUUGUAUCACUGUUGUGUUGUUGUGUAGUUGUGUUGUUGUGUUGUUGUGUUGUUGUGUAGUUGUAUCACUACAGCAACGAGGUGUACGCCUCUGGAUACGUGUGAGUGUCUCCUAUGGUGUAUAGUUGUGUAGUUGUAUCAUUGUGUCACUGUUGUGUAGUUGUGUUGUUGUGUUGUUGUGUUGUUGUGUAGUUGUAUCACUACAGCAACGAAGUGUACGCCUCCGGAUACGUGUGAGUGUCAGUGUUGUAUCACUGUGUCCUUGUAUCAUUGUGUAGUUGUAUCAUUGUAUCACUGUUGUGUUGUUGUGUAGUUGUGUAGUUGUGUAGUUGUAUCACUACAGCAACGAGGUGUACGCCUCCGGAUACGUGAAGGUGCUUCCGGACCCACAGGACUCGACGCAGCAACAACACGACAACGACCAGCCCCACAACCACGGUCACACCCCAUAGAGACACAUAGAGACCCCAUAGAGACCCCAUAGAGACCCAUAGAGACCCUAUAGACCCCAUAGAGACCCAUAGAAACCCCAUAGAGACCCAUAGAGACCCCAUAGAGACCCAUAGGGACCCAUAGAGACCCCAUAGAGACCCAUAGAAACCCCAUAGAGACCCAUAGAGACCCCAUAGAGACCCCAUAGAGACCCAUAGAGACCCCAUAGAGACCCCAUAGAGACCCCAUAGGGACCCAUAGAGACCCCAUAGGGACCCCAUAGGGACCCAUAGAGACCCCAUAGAGACCCUACAGAGAACUAUAGGGACCCAUAGCACCCCAUAGAGAUCCAUAGGGACCCAUAGAGCCCCACAGAAACCCCAUAGAGACCCAUAGAAACCCCAUAGAGACCCAUAGAGAUCCAUAGAACCCCAUAGAGACCCACAGAGACCCCAUAGAAACCCCAUAGACACCCCAAGAGACCCAUAGCGCCCCAUAGGGACCCAUAGAGCCCCAUAGGUCCCCAUAGAGAUCCCCUAGAAUGCCAUAAAUACCAUAAUGGAACCCCGUAGAUCCCAUAGGGACCCCACAGACCCCAUAGAGACCCCAUAGAGACCCAUAGAACACCAUAGAGACCCAUAGAAACCCCAUAGAGACCCAUAGAAAACCCCAUAGAGACCCAUAGAAACCCCAUAGAGACCCAUAGAACACCAUAGAGACCCAUAGAAACCCCAUUGACCCCUAUAGGCCCCAUUGACCCCAUAGAACCUCCAUAGACCCCAUAGAGCUCCCACUGACCCCAUAGAGACCCCAAUAGACCCCAUAGAGCCCCAUAGAGCCCCCAUUGACCCUAUAGAGCCCCAUAGAGCCCCCAUUGACCCCAUAGAGCCCUUAUUGACCCUAUAGAGACCCCAUAGAGACCCCAUUGACCCUAAUAGACCUCAUUGACCCCAUAGAACCUCAAUAGACCCCAUAGAGCCCCAUAGAGCCCCCAUUGACCCUAUAGAGACCCCAAUAGCCCCCAUAGAGCCCCAUAGAGACCCCACUGACCC